rnacentral:miRNA from 1 species
AUAUAUGUGUGUGUGUGUGUGUGUGUGUAUACUUAUAUAAUACACACACACACACACACACACACACACACACACACACAUAU